GCUUUGGUGGUUCAGCAGUAGAAUUCUUGCCUUCGAUGUGGGAGACCUGGGUUCAAUUCCCAGCCAGUGCA
rnacentral:tRNA from 1 species